UUACGGCCAUGUUGCGUUGAGACAUCGGUUCCCUUACGAUACACCGAAGUUAAGCAAUUUUGAGCCUGGUCAGUAACUAGAGGGGUGACCGUUUGUGCAUACCAGGGGCUGUAAG